UAUGCUUGACGGUACCUGGAGAGGAAGCCCGGGCUAACUCUGUGCCAGCAGCCGCGGGUAAUACAGAGGGGGCAAGCGUUAUUCGGAAUUAUUGGGCGUAAAGGGCGCGUAGGCGGUUUUUUAAGUCAGAUGUGUAAUCCCCGAGCUCAACUUGGGAACUGCAUCUGAGACUGGAAGGCUAGAGUACUGGAGAGGGUGGUGGAAUUCCUCGUGUAGCGGUGAAAUGCGUAGAGAUGAGGAGGAACACCAGUGGCGAAGGCGGCCACCUGGACAGUAACUGACGCUGAGGCGCGAAAGUGUGGGUAGCAAACAGGAUUAGAUACCCUGGUAGUCCACGCUGUAAACGAUGAACACUUGGUGUGGAGGGAGUUGACCCCUUCCGUGCCGGAGCUAACGCGUUAAGUGUUCCGCCUGGGGAGUACGGUCGCAAGGCUGAAACUCAAAGGAAUUGACGGGGGCCCGCACAAGCGGUGGAGCAUGUGGUUUAAUUCGACGCAACGCGAAGAACCUUACCUGGGCUUGAACUGUAGUGGACCGGUGCAGAGAUGUGCCUUUUCGCAAGAACUGCUACAGAGGUGCUGCGUGGCUGUCGUCAGCUCGUGUCGUGAGAUGUUGGGUUAAGUCCCGCAACGAGCGCAACCCUUACCCGUAGUUGCCAGCGCGUCAUGGCGGGAACUCUACGGGGACUGCCCGGGUUAACCGGGAGGAAGGUGGGGAUGAUGUCAAGUCCUCAUGGCCCUUAUGUCCAGGGCUACACACGUGCUACAAUGGGCGAUACAAACCGUUGCAAAGUCGCGAGAUGGAGCUAAUCGGAGAAAGUCGUCCUCAGUUCGGAUUGUAGUCUGCAACUCGACUACAUGAAGGUGGAAUCGCUAGUAAUCGUGUAUCAGAAUGAUACGGUGAAUACGUUCCCGGGCCUUGUACACACCGCCCGUCACACCAUGGGAGUGGAAUCUGGCAGAAGUAGGUAGCCUAACCGCAAGGAGGGCGCUUACCACG
rnacentral:rRNA from 1 species